rnacentral:misc_RNA from 1 species
GAUGAAGAACGUAGCGAAAUGCGAUACGUAAUGUGAAUUGCAGAAUUCAGUGAAUCAUCGAAUCUUUGAACGCAUAUUGCGCUCUCUGGUAUUCCGGAGAGCAUGCUUGUUUGAGUAUCAGUAAACACCUCAACUUCCAUAUCUUUUUUGAAAUGGGAGUUGGACUUGAGUGAUCCCAACGCUUUUCCUCACCGAAAAGUGGCGGGUUACUUGAAAUGCAGGUGCAGCUGGACUUUUCUUUGAGCUAUAAGCAUAUCUAUUUAGUCUGCCUAAAAAACAGAUUAUUACCUUUGCUGCAGCUAACAUAAAGGAGAUUAGUUCUUGUGCUGACUGAUGCAGGAUUCACAAAGACGGCUUCGGCCGACUUUGUAAACUCGAUCUCAAAUCAAGUAAGACUACCCGCUGAACUUAAGCAUAUCAAUAAGCGGAGGA